CCUACGGGGGGCAGCAGUGGGGAAUAUUGGACAAUGUGGGGAACCCUGAUCCAGCGACGCCGCGUGAGUGAAGAAGUAUUUCGGUAUGUAAAGCUCUAUCAGCCGGGAAGAAAAUGACGGUAACUGACUAAGAAGCCCCGGCUAACUACGUGCCAGCAGCCGCGUUAAUACGUAGGGGGCAAGCGUUAUCCGGAUUUACUGGGGGUAAAGGGAGCGUAAGCGGUUCAUCAAGUCUGAUGUGAAAGGUCGGGGUACAACCCCGGGACUGCAUUGGAAGCUGUUGAACUGGAGUACAGGAGAGGUAAGCGGAAUUCCUAGUGUAGCGGUGAAAUGCGUAGAUAUUAGGAGGAACACCAGUGGCGAAGGCGGCUUACUGGACUGUAACUGACGUUGAGGCUCGAAAGCGUGGGGAGCAAACAGGAUUAGAUACCCCUGUAGUC
rnacentral:rRNA from 1 species